rnacentral:rRNA from 1 species
UGGGGAAUAUUGCACAAUGGGCGCAAGCCUGAUGCAGCCAUGCCGCGUGUGUGAAGAAGGCCUUCGGGUUGUAAAGCACUUUCAGCGGGGAGGAAGGCGGUGAGGUUAAUAACCUCAUCGAUUGACGUUACCCGCAGAAGAAGCACCGGCUAACUCCGUGCCAGCAGCCGCGGUAAUACGGAGGGUGCAAGCGUUAAUCGGAAUUACUGGGCGUAAAGCGCACGCAGGCGGUCUGUCGAGUCGGAUGUGAAAUCCCCGGGCUCAACCUGGGAACUGCAUUCGAAACUGGCAGGCUAGAGUCUUGUAGAGGGGGGUAGAAUUCCAGGUGUAGCGGUGAAAUGCGUAGAGAGCUGGAGGAAUACCGGUGGCGAAGGCGGCCCCCUGGACAAAGACUGACGCUCAGGUGCGAAAGCGUGGGGAGCAAACAGG